rnacentral:lncRNA from 1 species
CAGUUAUGGAGAAACCUGAAGAACCAGCAGUGGAAGAAAAACCUGAAGAACCAACAGUUAAAGAGGAACCUGAAAAAUCAGUGAUGGAAGAGAAACCUGAAGAACCAAUUGUUGAGGAGAAACUUGAAGAACCAACUGUUGAAGAGAAACCUGAAAAAUCACUGAUUGAAGAAACACCUGAAGAACCAAUAUGGGAAGAAACACCUAAAGAACUAGCAUUUGAAGAGAAACCAGAAGAACCAGCAGUUGAAGAGGAGAAACCUGAAAAGGUAACUCUUUUGGAAGAGGUGAGUAUCAAGCAUUAGCACAUAGUUUAUCCAUCAUGUUAUUUCUGUAUGUGCAUCGAUUCACAUCUGCUUAUCUAUUGAAAGUCUAAAUGAGACUUUAAAUUCUUCUUGCAGAAUAUACCAGCUGUAGAUUUCAACGACAAGACUGACCGUGAAAUUCCAUGCGAUACCAACAAUGAUAUUGCUGACUAUGCAACAGUUGAGGAAAAACCUGAAGAACCGGUAGUUGAAGAAAAACAUGAAGAACCUGCAAUUGAAAAGAAAUUUGAAGAAUCAACGGUUAUGGAGAAACCUGAAAAACCAGUGGUUAAGGUACAACCUGAAGAACCAGCAGUGGAAGAAAAAGUUGAAGAACCAACAGUUAAUGAGGAACCUGAAAAAUCAGCGAUGGAAGAGAACCCUGAAGAAUCAAUUGUUGAGGAGAAACUUGAAGAACCAACUGUUGAAGAGAAACCUGAAAAAUCACUGAUUGAAGAAACACCUGAAGAACCAAUAUGGAAAGAAACACCUAAAGAACUAGCAUUUGAAGAGCAACCAGAAGAACCAGCAGUUGAAGAGGAGAAACCUGAAAAGGUAUCUCUUUUGG